CACAGAUACUGUGUGUGAAUGUCUUGCACACGCUUUGCAUGGCAUCGCAGCUGAAUACCAACGUGGAUGUCAGUUCUAAUACUUUUUCAUAUAAAUCUUCUUUUUCCAACACCUUUCAUAGCCGACCCCAUCACAGAAGCUGCCGUGGAGAGGGCCCCAUGUCACAGGGUUUGAGGAACUCCAUCCCACCAGCAACUGCUUGAGUGAGCUUGGAAGCAGAUUCUCCCCCAGACAAGCCUUCAGGUGGGACCACGCAGCCAGCCAGCCACACCUUGAUUUCAGCCUUGUACCACUCUGAACCAGAGAUGCCCUGCUCAGCAAUGCCUGAAUCCCUAACCCA
rnacentral:lncRNA from 1 species